rnacentral:rRNA from 1 species
GGAGGGUGCAAGCGUUGCUCGGAAUUAUUGGGCGUAAAGGGUAGGUAGGUGGUCUCAUUUGUCUGGGGUGAAAGCCUUGAGCUUAACUCAAGAAGUGCCCCAGAAACGGUGAGACUAGAGUCCUGGAGAGGGUCGUGGAAUUCCCGGUGUAGCGGUGAAAUGCGUAGAGAUCGGGAGGAACACCAGAGGCGAAGGCGGCGACCUGGACAGGUACUGACACUCAACUACGAAAGCGUGGGGAGCAAACAGGAUUAGAUACCCUGGUAGUCCACGCUGUAAACGAUGGGUACUAGGUUUGGUGGGUCUUGACCCCCGCCGAACCGGAGCUAACGCAAUAAGUACCCCGCCUGGGAAGUACGGUCGCAAGACUA